GUGUCAGCCGCCGCGGUAAUACAGAGAUCUCGAGCGUUAAUCGGAGUCACUGGGCUUAAAGGGUGCGUAGGCUGUUCCGCAAGUGCUUUGUGAAAUCCCACGGCUUAACCGUGGAAUGGCUCGGUAGACUGCGGAACUUGAGGUCGGUGGGGCCGCCGGAACUCUAGGUGGAGCGGUGAAAUGCGUAGAUAUCUAGAGGAACGCCAAAGGUGAAGACGGGCGGCUGGGCCGAUUCUGACGCUGAAACACGAAAGCGUGGGUAGCAAACAGGAUUAGAUACCCUGGUAGUCC
rnacentral:rRNA from 1 species